rnacentral:tRNA from 1 species
GUUUUAAUUUGUUGCUGUAGUUGGAGCAGCUGACUCUUAAUCAGCGGGUCCCGGGUUCGAGUCCCUGUUGGUGCACCA